rnacentral:sRNA from 1 species
CUCAGGUCGGCGAUGAUGCUGGUGUACUGAGCGAUGUGGUAGGAGACAUUGAGCAGGUUCUGCUUCACCUGGAGGGAGCCCGGGAUGAGACACACUGGGAGACUUUAGGGCUGGGGAGAAUCCCUUGAACCCAGCAAAGUCUGGGCGCCCAUUGAUUCCCAUGUCUACAACUGAAGGCCACGGGUGGCUCCGCCAUGAGUAACUGGCUCCAAGCAAGGAGCAGCUCCAGAGGCCACAGGGCUGACCACCACAAAGCCCCAAAUCUAGUUGCCAGAAACACAGAGAACUUCUGUCUGCAAUCAAAUUUCAGAUUCACAGCAAAGGGACUGGUUUAGUUAAGGUCGUCUCAACUCUUCUUGCGUGAGACAUUCGUCUGAAAUCCAAGUGGGGGUAGCUGAGCUUUGUCUGGGUGUGGCCCGGCAGGCCUGCUCUUA